CUUCAUUUAUGAAAUUCAUAGUAAUAGAGAUACAUGUCCUACCGAGACAGAAUUUUGAACUUGCUAUCCUCUUACCUAACAGGCAAAGAUUUGCCUCCGUGGAAAGGAUAGCUUACCAAGGCGAUGAUCAGUAGCUGGUCCGAGAGGAUGAUCAGCCACACUGGGACUGAGACACGGCCCAGACUCCUACGGGAGGCAGCAGUGGGGAAUUUUCCGCAAUGGGUAGCCGCUCAUGGU
rnacentral:lncRNA from 1 species